CUACGGGAGGCAGCAGUGGGGAAUAUUGCGCUAAUGCGCGAAAGCGUGACGCAGCGACGCCGCGUGGGGGAUGAAGGCCCUCGGGUCGUAAACCCCUUUCGGCAGGGACGAAGCGAGAGUGACGGUACCUGCAGAAGAAGUCCCGGCUAACUACGUGCCAGCAGCCGCGGUAACACGUAGGGGACGAGCGUUGUCCGGAUUCAUUGGGCGUAAAGAGCGCGUAGGCGGUUCGGUAAGUCUGACGUGAAAUCCCAGAGCUUAACUCUGGAACUGCGUUGGAUACUGCCGAGCUUGAGUGUGGGAGAGGAGAGUGGAAUUCCCAGUGUAGAGGUGAAAUUCGUAGAUAUUGGGAGGAACACCCGUGGCGAAGGCGGCUCUCUGGACCACAACUGACGCUGAGGCGCGAAAGCUAGGGUAGCAAACGGGAUUAGAUACCCCGGUAGUCCUAGCCGUAAACGAUGGGCACUAGGUGUUGGAGGUAUCGACCCCUCCAGUGCCGCAGCUAACGCAUUAAGUGCCCCGCCUGGGGAGUACGGUCGCAAGACUAAAACUUAAAGGAAUUGACGG
rnacentral:rRNA from 1 species